ACGGAGAAAAUCUAGCUAAGCCCGGCGGUUAAGAAUACUAACGUUACUUUAAUGACAUUAUCUUCGCCGACCACCCGCGUCGACACCACUUGGCUAAUAAGUAACUGCGUUGUAGCUUCUGGGCUCUGGCUAUUUCCUGGACUUAACCGUAUGAGUGUUCCCCCCCAAACCCCGAGACGUUCCGGAUAUUAUCACCCUUCUGUCUCUUGAGCCUGGCACCUGCACUGUUUGGACGCUUUGGGUGUUUAACUGUGCAUCUUUGAGAGCC